rnacentral:rRNA from 1 species
UACGUAGGGUGCGAGCGUUUGUCCGGAAUUAUUGGGGCGUAAAGAGCUUGUAGGCGGUUUUGUCGCGUCUGCUGUGAAAAAUCCGGGGGCUCAACCCCCGGGACUUGCAGUGGGGUACGGGGCAGACUAGAGUGUGGGUAGGGGGAGACUGGAAUUCCUGGUGUAGCGGUGAAAUGCGCAGAUAUCAGGGAGGGAACACCCGAUGGCGAAGGGCGGGGUCUCUGGGGCCCGUAACUGACGCUGAGGGAGCGAAAGCGUGGGGAGCAAACAGGG